rnacentral:rRNA from 1 species
AUGGCCAUACCAUAUUGAAAACACCGGUUCUCGUCCGAUCACCAAAGUUAAGCAAUAUCGGGCCCGGUCAGUACUUGGGAGGGUGACCACCUGGGAACACCAGGUGCUGUAGGCU